rnacentral:rRNA from 1 species
AACGAACGCUGGCGGCAUGCCUAACACAUGCAAGUCGAACGAGACCUUCGGGUCUAGUGGCGCACGGGUGCGUAACGCGUGGGAACCUGCCCUUAGGUUCGGAAUAACUCCCCGAAAGGGGUGCUAAUACCGGAUAAUGUCUUCGGACCAAAGAUUUAUCGCCUUUGGAUGGGCCCGCGUUGGAUUAGCUAGUUGGUAGGGUAAAAGCCUACCAAGGCGACGAUCCGUAGCUGGUCUGAGAGGAUGAUCAGCCACACUGGGACUGAGACACGGCCCAGACUCCUACGGGAGGCAGCAGUGGGGAAUAUUGGACAAUGGGCGAAAGCCUGAUGCAGCAAUGCCGCGUGAGUGAUGAAGGCCUUAGGGUUGUAAAGCUCUUUUACCCGGGAUGAUAAUGACAGUACCGGGAGAAUAAGCUCCGGCUAACUCCGUG